UACAGAGGUCUCGAGCGUUAGGCGGAAUCACUGGGCUUAAAGCGUGUGUAGGCGGAUCGGUAAGUACCUUGUGAAAUCCCACAGCUUAACUGUGGAACUGCUUGGUAUACUGCCAGUCUUGAGCCAGCUAGGGGCUACCGGAACAAAUGGUGGAGCGGUGAAAUGCGUAGAUAUCAUUUGGAACACCAAUGGUGAAAACAGGUAGCUGGGGGCUGUGCUGACGCUGAGACACGAAAGCCAGGGGAGCAAAACGGGG
rnacentral:rRNA from 1 species